UUCUUAGAAAAGAUCUAAAGACACUACCACAUGACCAAACCUUUUUCCCCGUGAAACCCAAAUUUAUUUCCAAUUUUCCAUAACCCACCUUAUCAGACGAGCUAAUAACCCCAUUUUCCUAUCAAACCUACUCCAUUUUCUCACUUGUCCAUAACCCUAAUACGCUAAAUUGCUGUUCCCUAGCGACUUCAACAGUAGAAAUUAUUGUCCCAAAACGCAUUCUGUGGAAAAUCGCUUGCUAAACAAGCUAAUUAUGGCAAUGCUUUGGCAGUCUUUAAAUGGACCUGAAGUUAUCACAACAAAUAUUGCCUAGCACGACAAUAACUUUACUCAGGGCUAGUCCCUUGUUCACAUCCAUUUCAACUAUCUCGGUUGUUGUUAAAGUUAGUAGAAGAUCUGAAUUGUGAAGGAGGUAAAGUGAUAUUGCUUUAUUACUUUCACUCUCCAUGACAGCUAUGACAUUCUUUGUUAGAUGGGAUCAAGUUUAUAGGGUCGUUAUUGAUAUUUUAAUACUCAAAAUUUGUUAUCUAGUUUGUCGAAUCAGUAGCUCCAAUUUUACUGAUCAACCUAUGAUAGAUUAUUGAAAAUUUUGAGACUUGGAGAUGUCUCUUUCACAGUUUAAAGGAGCUAGUAGCAAUAUCUUAAUGUUUCUCCAAGGAAAUAAGCAUGGUAUUUAGCCUAUUUUUAUUAUACUCUUUAUGUUUCAGGUGAUUUGCUAUAGUUAGAAUCCAAGAUUUUAAAUAUGAUCUUUGGGUCAUGGUUUGCAGAUAGUAUUACCGAAAUUUUUGUGCUAAUAUUUCCUCAGAGAGUGCUUGCACUGCCCUUUGCAUAAUUACUUGUUGGAGCAGCCAAAUUGACAGAUGCACAAGCCAAGGUGAAACAAAUUAACAAAGGAUAGCUGAAAGCAGUGAAGAUCUACUUAAGAGUUGGUUGAUCGUUGUCAAACUUUUAGAUGGUCUACGGAUCUUUUAUUUUAGAAAUUAUGUAUGAUAACUCUUAAAUUGUCAAAAAAUAUUGUGUAUUUGCUUUUAUAAAUAGAUAAUACUAGUUCGAUAUUUUGGAUCAUGAUUUUAUUGUUGA